rnacentral:rRNA from 1 species
GACGAACGCUGGCGGCGUGCCUAGUACAUGCAAGUAGAACGCUGAAGGAGGAGCUUGCUUCUCUGGAUGAGUUGCGAACGGGUGAGUAACGCGUAGGUAACCUGCCUGGUAGCGGGGGAUAACUAUUGGAAACGAUAGCUAAUACCGCAUAAUAGUAGAUGUUGCAUGACAUUUGCUUAAAAGGUGCAAUUGCAUCACUACCAGAUGGACCUGCGUUGUAUUAGCUAGUUGGUGAGGUAACGGCUCACCAAGGCGACGAUACAUAGCCGACCUGAGAGGGUGAUCGGCCACACUGGGACUGAGACACGGCCCAGACUCCUACGGGAGGCAGCAGUAGGGAAUCUUCGGCAAUGGACGGAAGUCUGACCGAGCAACGCCGCGUGAGUGAAGAAGGUUUUCGGAUCGUAAAGCUCUGUUGUAAGAGAAGAACGAGUGUGAGAGUGGAAAGUUCACACUGUGACGGUAUCUUACCAGAAAGGGACGGCUAACUACGUG